AUCCAGCUGACGAAUCCCAGAUAGGACGAAACGCGCGUUCUGGAU
rnacentral:hammerhead_ribozyme from 1 species